AUUGAACGCUGGCGGCAUGCCUUACACAUGCAAGUCGAACGGCAGCACGGGAGCAAUCCUGGUGGCGAGUGGCGAACGGGUGAGUAAUGUAUCGGAACGUGCCCAGUCGUGGGGGAUAACGUAGCGAAAGCUACGCUAAUACCGCAUACGAUCUAUGGAUGAAAGCGGGGGAUCGCAAGACCUCGCGCGAUUGGAGCGGCCGAUAUCAGAUUAGGUAGUUGGUGGGGUAAAGGCCUACCAAGCCUGCGAUCUGUAGCUGGUCUGAGAGGACGACCAGCCACACUGGAACUGAGACACGGUCCAGACUCCUACGGGAGGCAGCAGUGGGGAAUUUUGGACAAUGGGCGCAAGCCUGAUCCAGCAAUGCGGCGUGCAGGAUGAAGGCCUUCGGGUUGUAAACUGCUUUUGUACGGAGCGAAAAGGCUCUCUCUAAUACAGGGGGCUCAUGACGGUACCGUAAGAAUAAGCACCGGCUAACUACGUGCCAGCAGCCGCCGUAAUAC
rnacentral:rRNA from 1 species